rnacentral:rRNA from 1 species
GAUGAACGCUGGCGGCGUGCCUAAUACAUGCAAGUCGAGCGAACAGACGAGGAGCUUGCUCCUCUGACGUUAGCGGCGGACGGGUGAGUAACACGUGGAUAACCUACCUAUAAGACUGGGAUAACUUCGGGAAACCGGAGCUAAUACCGGAUAAUAUAUUGAACCGCAUGGUUCAAUAGUGAAAGACGGUUUUGCUGUCACUUAUAGAUGGAUCCGCGCCGCAUUAGCUAGUUGGUAAGGUAACGGCUUACCAAGGCAACGAUGCGUAGCCGACCUGAGAGGGUGAUCGGCCACACUGGAACUGAGACACGGUCCAGACUCUUACGGGAGGCAGCAGUGGGGAAUCUUCCGCAAUGGGCGAAAGCCUGACGGAGCAACGCCGCGUGAGUGAUGAAGGUCUUCGGAUCGUAAAACUCUGUUAUUAGGGAAGAACAAAUGUGUAAGUAACUAUGCACGUCUUGACGGUACCUAAUCAGAAAGCCACGGCUAACUACGUG